GAUCAACAUAACCUACAAUUCCGGCGGUAACGCUUCUUUGGUUUCUUUGGUGUUAAUGAGACAAUUCAGUAUUCAUUCCACUUUUGUUGGGGUGAGACAUCAUCAAGUAAAAGGCUUCGGCCUUCACACCACAGAUACUGGGGGAGUUUCAGCGUCAAGUAGAGGUCUAAUGGAAUGAAGUACCUCAAGACAAAAUUGACCUAAUCAUUAGAUGAAUGGAGAUAUCAAUAUAAUCAUUGUUUUUAAUUCACCUACCCCAAACAGUAAAGCAGAAUUCAAUGAAAUCUAACCGCUGGGCCUCUUUUCUGUAUGAACUGAAUAUAUUUGAACAAGGAAGCUUCAAGCUUUUGGAGGGAUUUCCCAUAAAUUUCUAAGUGCUUUUAGAUUGUCAAUAACUAAUAGUAAAGUGAAGUUUUCCAGUCUUUUUUUAAAUUAACUGAACAAUGAUUACAAAGAUAAUGGUGAUGUUUUUAGUAUUUAAUUCAAUAAUGAAGUUGAGAAUUGUACUGAUGGUAAAUACAGAAGUUUUGAAAGGUUUCCUUAAUCUUUUUAUAGCAAUUAAUUAACAAAAUAUACGUUUUAAUUAUGGUUUCAAGAACUGUGGUAAAAUGCAACAUUUCUAGAAAUAAAUUAAAUUUAGAAGUUGGAA